rnacentral:rRNA from 1 species
UACGUAGGGUGCAAGCGUUGUCCGGAAUUAUUGGGCGUAAAGAGCUCGUAGGCGGUCUGUCACGUCGGCUGUGAAAACCCGAGGCUCAACCUCGGGCCUGCAGUCGAUACGGGCAAACUAGAGUACUGCAGGGGAGACUGGAAUUCCUGGUGUAGCGGUGAAAUGCGCAGAUAUCGAGGAGGAACACCGGUGGCGAAGGCGGGUCUCUGGGCAG